CCCAGUAGGGGGCGUGCAGGAGGCAGCUGAUCAAUGAUUCUCACCAUUGAUGUUUCUAUCUCUCUCUCCUCCCUUCCUCUCUGAAAUCAAUAAAGAAAUAUAUGUUUUUUAAAAAUGUGAGAUGUUUACAAUUUCACGAAAAAAGUUCUGUGGCCAAUUUAGUUUAGGAAACAUCAUUCAACAAAAGUCUGAGUAAAGGAUUGUCUGAUUCAGUGUGCAUGGUCAGUCUCCAAGGGGGUAGUGAGAUGAAGAGCAAUUCUGAAACUCGUUUUUUGUUGUGUUUUUUUUCUAAUAACAGCCCCCAAUCCUCAAGGGAACAUUAAUCAACAUCAGGAGGAAUGAUAAUAUUCAGAGGAAUAGUUUAGGAAAUGCUGGUUUAGGUAACAAGAUUUCAUCAGUUUCCUCCUUGGGUCCCUGGACUCCAGUUCCACCAUCUCAAAAUCGCCCUCUGUACAAAGCAGGAGUCCAUAGCUCCCACAUAAUGCUCAAAGGAGAAAGUACAACACCUUUUGGAGACCCUGAAGGCCCUAUAUAAACUGACCUCAGGCUGCCUUUCCUGCUUAACUUACCAGUGUUCCUGUAGUCUCCACACUGCCAACUAGGCAGUGUUCCUUGCCGGGGGCUACAUGUCAGGGCCUGCCACCAAUCAGGGUCAGAAUGCUGACCCCUACACCAAGUUCAGUUUAAUUACCAUCAUCUCCAUGAAAUCCCCCUCACUUCUCCAACUAUCAGGUAAUCUCCUUCUGGAUUCUAUUCCACUGCCUGUUGACAUCACUUAAAUGACACAAACACUUAAAUUCAACUUAUAUUUAUUAAGCAAGGAACUGUGCUUAAUAAAAGAUAAUAGAUAAAUCAGGAACAAGUAAUGGAAUGCUUAUUCCGUGUGUGCCACCUCCUAUGUAAGAUGCUUCUCAUGGAUUAUCUCAUUUAAGAAUUAUAACCACCUUUUGGGAUAGGCACCAUAUUCAUAAGCAUUUUAUAGAUGAGGAAACAGAGGUUAAGAAUUUGUUCAAGGUCACCCAGCUAGAGCUUGAGUCUUGGUUUCUUUGAUUCCAGAGCCCAAACUUCUUUACCAUGACAUUAUACUGCCUUCUUAUAAUUUGGUAUGAGGCAGACCAUAAAUAUCAAAAAAGAGAAGGGAAAACUCACACCCAGCUAUUGAUGGUAUUGGUGGGCGGGCAUGAAAGAUAUGGUGAAAAAGAUGGCACCUGAAAUACACCAUGAUGACUGAAUGGGAUUUCAAUAGCUGCAGAUGGCGGAGAGCGAGCACUCCAGGCUAAGUGAAGACAAUGAGUAGUAAUUGUGUGUGGGCAGAAAAUAUGAUGUGUAUUUAGUACGUUUAGCCUAAGCAUAGAGAGAGUAGUUGUUACUCCUGCACUCAACGCAUGAUCCAUAAAUCAGUAUUAUCCAAAAAUAAUUGCUGACUCAUGAGGAUAUAAGUGUUUCUGGACUCUGAGAAUAAAAGAUUAGAAAAUGUUAAAGUACUUGACAUAAUACUUUUAUAACUGUCGAAUCUAAAAACAAUUUAAAAAUUGGGGUUUAUUUUAUAUAUCUUCUAAAUUUCAUUUCCUAGUAAUUAAUUUUUAUUGUAUUUUAUAAAAGUAUUGGUCUGUGAUGGACUGGAAAUUAAAAACAACAAAACAAGCAAACAACUAAUUUGUCGUGCACCACAUUUGCCUGGGAAGCACUGAACUAGACCAGAAACUAGAGAGAUCAAAGAGUUUAACAACUGUGCUUUGCCUGUAGAGCUGGUGCUCAAUCAACUGAUGGGAACUCACUGAAGAUGACAUUUGUAAAGUCAGCAGCUAGAUGGACAGAGCACUAAUUAGUGGCAGGUUUCGGGUCUAAGGCGUGAGCACCUGGUUCCAGAAUGAGAAAGCAAAUUCAUAUGCUGAGCUGACUGAACCCUUAUCUUCUUCCAUCUGGAAGGACAGAAAAGCAACAAGUCUCAUAUUACAGACAAUACUCUUCACUGUGUACAGGUUCAGAAUCAAAACAGUAAGUUGAGGUCCACAAUCUGUGAGGCACAAAUGAAUGUUCACACACCACUACAUUCAUUCACGAUCACAAAAGAGAGCUAGCAGCAGCUUCUUACGGGGCGUACAACAAAGCACACAAAAUAAAGCCAUGAUUUUUCAGUGCACAAAGGACAAAUUAAAACCAGGUUUCCUUCGAUAAAAUUAAAUUUCUUCUAUUAAGCAAAUUCCCUGUCACCAAGAUUUAGGGUUCUCAUUGCAAAGAUACGUCCCAUUUUGCACCUCUCAUGCUCCCUUCUCAGAAGACCUAUUUACAAAUAGCCAAGCUAAUUGGAAACUUUCUACAAUUAUAAAAGUCUUCACUGAAUAAAACACAGAAUUUUCCUCAUUUCUAUGUAUUUUCUGUCUUAGAACUGACUAAUAAUUAUUUCAAUGAAAAAUACAUAUGUAAAAAAUCAAAUAGAAUUUUUUGGUUUCAAGGGUACAAUUAAGUUUAUAUAAAGAUAGCUUUUCACAAUAGCUUUGCCUAUAAUGCAGGGGAGAAGAAAAUACUCAAAAUGAGUUUUCUUUUAUUCAAAAGAAAAUUGCUAAUAGUUUUGUGUUAAUGGUUCUUAGGGUACUGACCUGAUUAAAUAUUUGAAAUCUCUUAAAGGUAUUUGAUAUCUGUAUAAUUUUCCUCUCUGUAAACAAUCAAGCCACCGUGGAUCACACCCAGCAAUAUAGUUCAAUGCAAUUCAAAACCAAGAUGUAUUCAAAAGUCAUAGGAUGCAUCAGGAGAUGUAUGUGGGCACAUGUUCUUCAUGCAGCUGUGAGCAAACGCCCACCCAGUGGUCACUCGCUGCUCAUUUAAGCAACUGUUAUUUCUCCCUGGCCUUUGAUUGAGCACAGCAUUUCUUCUUUUUUCCUUUGAUACUGAUAGUACAGAAUAAAUCACAGUAUGUAAAAUGACCACCCGAUGGGUGAGAACCCUGGAAGCUCAGAGAGGUGAACUACUUUGGUUAGGACAUAUAAGAAGCAGUGCUGAGGGCAGCAUUAGUAUUUGAUAGUCCACUAUCUCCCCUUUCUUAGUCCACCUGAUUGGAGAGUGGCUUGCAGCAAAGGCUGCCUAAUCAACAUAGCCUGCUAUCACUGUGUUCUUGUACAGAUGAAUGUCAAACUUACUAUUUUGUUACAUGAUUGGAGCCUGAAAUCUCUAGUUUAUGACCUUUUUACCUCACCCUUUGUUUGUGGCUUGAUUUAAGUCAACUGAAUAUGUAAAAUAUGAUUUCAUAAAAAUAUUAUGAUUAUUCUCAAUGAAAAAGUUAUCUUUACUUGACAAAAGAGUGUUUUUUAAAUAAUGAGCUCUCCUACUGCCUUAGAGUUAAUUAGAUGUUCAAAUAUAUGAUGAAUACCCACUGUUUUCAAAAAAGCACAUACAGAUAAAAUGUGAUAUACAUAUUUGGCUCAACCAAAGGUGAAGACAAAUCUUCAAGAUUGUUUUAGUUUUUUUUUUUUUAACAUAAAAUUUAGUUGACUACCACUUACACUCAUUUGUAUAUAUUCAUCUAUAAUUUUUAUAACUCUGUAAUUCAAAGUAGAAUAUUUCAAAAAUCUUGAAGCUAAUAAUAAAUUCAAAAGAUUUGGUAAAGCUUUAGAACAGCUCAAAAUUAUAAACUCACAGAGUUCCAUAAGAGGUUAAGUGGUGCUUUGUCAAAAAUAUUUAUUUGAUCAAGUGAAUGUAGAGAUUAAAAACCUUGAGAAUAAAAAAGACUUUAAAAAUAUAGGGUAUUCAAAAAAAUGUAUACAUACUUUAACAGCUGAUAGCUCAAUAUUGAAAAUGAAAUGUAUUUUAAUAAACACUGCCUUUAUAAUUAUUCAAAGUGUGUGCAUACAUUUUUUGGGACACCUGAUAUAUAUACUAUAUAUGAUUAAGAAUCCACAAAAUACUGAUAGAAUGAGAAACUGAAGAGUGCCAAAAUUAAACAAAUAUUUUAGUUAUAUUACUUUUUCUCUUCAAACCAGACUGGAAUUAAAGUUAACACUAUAUGAUUUUGGUAUCUUAAUACCAACAGUUCUAAGA